AUUGAACGCUGGCGGCAUGCCUUACACAUGCAAGUCGAACGGCAGCACGGGCUUCGGUCUGGUGGCGAGUGGCGAACGGGUGAGUAAUGUAUCGGAACGUACCCUUCAGUGGGGGAUAACUAUCCGAAAGGAUAGCUAAUACCGCAUAUUCUCUGAGGAGGAAAGCGGGGGAUCGCAAGACCUCGCGCUGAUGGAGCGGCCGAUAUCAGAUUAGCUAGUUGGUGGGGUAAAGGCCUACCAAGGCGACGAUCUGUAGCGGGUCUGAGAGGAUGAUCAGCCACACUGGGACUGAGACACGGCCCAGACUCCUACGGGAGGCAGAAGUGGGGAAUUUUGGACAAUGGGGGCAACCCUGAUCCAGCCAUUCCGCGUGAGUGAAGAAGGCCUUCGGGUUGUAAAGCUCUUUCGGCAGGAACGAAACGGCGAGCUCUAACAUAGCUUGCUAAUGACGGUACCUGAAGAAGAAGCACCGGCUAACUACGUGCCAGCCGCCGCCGUAACAC
rnacentral:rRNA from 1 species